GUGAAGCGGCAAAAGCUCAAAUUUGAAAUCUGGCGUCUUUGGCGUCCGAGUUGUAAUUUGAAGAAGGUAUCUUUGGGCCCGGCUCUUGUCUAUGUUCCUUGGAACAGGACGUCACAGAGGGUGAGAAUCCCGUGCGAUGAGAUGACCCGGGUCUGUGUAAAGUUCCUUCGACGAGUCGAGUUGUUUGGGAAUGCAGCUCUAAGUGGGUGGUAAAUUCCAUCUAAAGCUAAAUAUUGGCGAGAGACCGAUAGCGAACAAGUACAGUGAUGGAAAGAUGAAAAGAACUUUGAAAAGAGAGUGAAAAAGUACGUGAAAUUGUUGAAAGGGAAGGGCUUGAGAUCAGACUUGGUAUUUUGCAUGCUGCUCUCUCGGGGGCGGCCGCUGCGGUUUACCGGGCCAGCAUCGGUUUGGAGCGGCAGGAUAAUGGCGGAGGAAUGUGGCACGGCUUCUGCUGUGUGUUAUAGCCUCUGACGAUACUGCCAGCCUAGACCGAGGACUGCGGUUUUUACCUAGGAUGUUGGCAUAAUGAUCUUAAGUCGCCCGUCUUGAAACACGGACCAA
rnacentral:rRNA from 1 species